rnacentral:rRNA from 1 species
AGCAGUCGCCACGGUAAUACAGAGGGUGCGAGCGUUAAUCGGAUUUACUGGGCGUAAAGCGUGCGUAGGCGGCUUCUUAAGUCGGAUGUGAAAUCCCUGAGCUUAACUUAGGAAUUGCAUUCGAUACUGGGAAGCUAGAGUAUGGGAGAGGAUGGUAGAAUUCCAGGUGUAGCGGUGAAAUGCGUAGAGAUCUGGAGGAAUACCGAUGGCGAAGGCAGCCAUCUGGCCUAAUACUGACGCUGAGGUACGAAAGCAUGGGGAGCAAACAGGAUUAGAUACCCCGGUAGUCCCUGUCUCUUAUAA